GAUUUCGCAAGUGGAGGUUCACAAGUGCAACAUAUUGUUGGACAUGAGGAACCUUGUAUGGAAAAUGGAACCUACAUGCCAUUUUCAACAGAGGAAAGCUCUAAUAUGAUGACAAGUUGGCAAGACAAAAUUUCUUUCACCCAACUACUUCAUGAACAAGUACAUAUUGAUGCUUUUUCACAAGACCAAGAAUUGGGAAGUUGAGCAAGAUCUUUUUGUUGGAU